GACGUAGGGCGCGAGCGUUGUCCGGAUUUAUUGGGCGUAAAGAGCUCGUAGGCGGUCUGUCACGUCGGCUGUGAAAUCCCGAGGCUCAACCUCGGGUCUGCAGUCGAUACGGGCAAACUAGAGUAUUGCAGGGGAGACUGGAAUUCCUGGUGUAGCGGUGAAAUGCGCAGAUAUCAGGAGGAACACCGGUGGCGAAGGCGGGUCUCUGGGCAAUAACUGGCGCUGAGGAGCGAAAGCGUGGGGAGCGAACAGG
rnacentral:rRNA from 1 species